rnacentral:rRNA from 1 species
GGACGGGUGAGUAACGCGUGGGAACGUGCCCUUCUCUGCGGAAUAGCCACUGGAAACGGUGAGUAAUACCGCAUACGCCCUUCGGGGGAAAGAUUUAUCGGAGAAGGAUCGGCCCGCGUUAGAUUAGGUAGUUGGUGGGGUAAUGGCCUACCAAGCCUACGAUCUAUAGCUGGUUUGAGAGGAUGAUCAGCCACACUGGGACUGAGACACGGCCCAGACUCCUACGGGAGGCAGCAGUGGGGAAUCUUAGACAAUGGGCGCAAGCCUGAUCUAGCCAUGCCGCGUGAGUGAUGAAGGCCUUAGGGUCGUAAAGCUCUUUCGCUGGGGAAGAUAAUGACUGUACCCAGUAAAGAAACCCCGGCUAACUCCGUGCCAGCAGCCGCGGUAAUACGGAGGGGGUUAGCGUUGUUCGGAAUUACUGGGCGUAAAGCGCGCGUAGGCGGAUCAGAAAGUUGGGGGUGAAAUCCCGGGGCUCAACCUCGGAACUGCCUCCAAAACUCCUGGUCUUGAGUUCGAGAGAGGUGAGUGGAAUUCCGAGUGUAGAGGUGAAAUUCGUAGAUAUUCGGAGGAACACCAGUGGCGAAGGCGGCUCACUGGCUC